rnacentral:lncRNA from 1 species
AAACUUAUUCAAUUUUGUUUGGUGUAGAAAUACUGAUGUAUUGUUUAUCUGUGUAUGCAAGGUUCAAAUUUGAAGUUGACAUUGUUUGAUUCAAAAAUCAAAAGAACAUCUCAAGCAAUUCGGAAGGAAAAAAGAGAAGCACUUCAAGCUAAAUAAGAACUUGAAGUAAAGAUGGAUAAUCUACCACGAAAAAUGAUAGGGGGUUAUUGUAGGAGGAAUGAUGCUAGACAAAUAUCCUUAGGUUUUCAACCAACUAACCCUGUAACUUUUGAAAUAAAAAAAGUAUGCACUUUCAGGUUUAAAAGAUAACUCGUUCGAUGGGCAAGCUAUCAGAGAUCCUU